rnacentral:rRNA from 1 species
GCAGUGGGGAAUUUUGGACAAUGGGCGAAAGCCUGAUCCAGCCAUUCCGCGUGAGUGAAGAAGGCCUUCGGGUUGUAAAGCUCUUUCGCAAGGGAAGAAAACUUACUUUCUAAUAAAGAGUGAGGCUGACGGUACCUUGAUAAGAAGCACCGGCUAACUACGUGCCAGCAGCCGCGGUAAUACGUAGGGUGCGAGCGUUAAUCGGAAUUACUGGGCGUAAAGCGUGCGCAGGCGGUUUGGCAAGUCAGAUGUGAAAUCCCCGAGCUCAACUUGGGAACUGCGUUUGAAACUGCCAGACUAGAAUAUGUCAGAGGGGGGUAGAAUUCCACGUGUAGCAGUGAAAUGCGUAGAGAUGUGGAGGAAUACCAAUGGCGAAGGCAGCCCCCUGGGAUAAUAUUGACGCUCAUGCACGAAAGCGUGGGGAGCAAACAGGAUUAGA